GAUGCCGGCGAGGAUUUGAAAGCCUGAGCAUAUUGGAGGAAACGUAAUCCUCGGGCCUGUCCCGCAUGUUCUGUUCCCGUGACACGCUGGUGAGGACAGGAAGGAAGGACAGGGCCGGAGACAGACGUGGGAGCCAGCUCGCAGAAAUCAUACCCGUGUCCGGCUGGCUGGGCCACCAGGCCCUCGUGCGGGUGGGCCACCUCCCGGGGAUUCCUCCUCCGUCUUCCUCCCGUGGCCUCGUUGUGCAGAAGGGAGCACCCGGCAACAACAAUUGACUCCCGACCUUUCCUCCCUGUUUUCUCCUUAAAAAGUCAUGACAAACAUUUUUUAAGAGAUUUUAUUUAUUUGAGAGAUGGAGAGAUAGUGAGAGACAGAACGAGCAGGGGGGGAGAGGCAGAGGGAGAAGCAGACUCCCCGAGGAGCAAGGAGCCCGAUGUGGGGCUCGAUUCCAGGAUCUGGGAUCAUGACCUGAGCUGAAGGCAGAUGCUUAACCCACUGAGCCACCCAGGUGUCCCGGGAAACAUUUUUUAACUCCGCCAGUUAAUGCCCGAAUCUGUUCUUGUAAAAAAUUCAAAGAUAGCAGAUAAAGCAACCCGCUCUGGGCCCUGCCUCCUGAGCACCCUCUCUGGGGUCUGCGAGAGCUGGGAAACCCACAGGGCCCAGGAGGCGGGGGCCUCGUGGCUUUUCCUGCCCCACACCCAUGGCGGGUGUGCUGACGGAGCAGCAGCCAGCCUGGCCCCUGACUUCGAGUCCCUCCAGGACUCGCCGUGCAGCCCUGUCACUCCAUGUCACUGAAGUCUGGACGUGGCUCGUCGCUGCUGUGGAGCGUAGCCUGCCCACGCCGUUGCAGGAAUGGGCACCGAUCACGGCACUGCUGUAGCCCGAGCCCCGGGCCCCGGGCCACCCACGUGGCAGAUGGAGAGGAAGCUCUGUGCACACAGUGAGGGGCAGGGUGGAGCCCAACGAGCCCCGCGGACGCCAGCCACAGGCCCAGGGCAGCGGAGAAGGAGGAGAAGGAGGAGGAGGGCGCCAGCAGCCGCCGGCUGUGCUUGGCAAGACUAUGAGACGGAGCCAGACUCACACGGGAGCUGCUGGCGCGGAGCAGGGAGGAGAGAGGAGACUCCAAAUAUCGGGCCCCUCAAUGCCGGGACGGCUGACACAUCUCCAGACCCCCAGAUCCAGCCAGACACGACGCGUCCCUGCUUCUUGAAGUGAGGCCUGGCUGCGUGUCCGGCUCUGAGCCUUUCAAGGUCAGCUCAGUGUUUCCUGCUUUGGUGGUGGUGGGAAGCUGUGUCAGCUGGGGCUCCUGGUCCCCUGGGGGAGCGCAAAGAGUAAAAGCCUCCGCUGACCCACCCUGGACACAGGGCGGCAGGAGGUGCAGCUCGACGUGCACGGUGGGGGGCUGUCUGCGGCACAGCGGGGCCUACUCCAGCACCACUCCUAGGCUUCCCCAGACGCGAGGGGGCUCUGCCUCUCCCCUCCUGGGCUGGAGGCAGCGGGCUCAGGGCUGCUUCUCGGGGAGGCUCAAAACACCUUACUCCGGGGUCCCUUGGACACAGUGAGAGGCGCAGUGUGGCCUCUGCAGGGGUGCGGAACCGGGCAGCAGGAAGCACAGCUCUGGCCCUGUGAGCACGAGAGGGGAGGGUUCCAGCUGGUGACAGUCCCCUGGGCUCUGUCCUGACAGAGGGGCGGGUCCUCCUCUGAGCGUGUCCUGGAACACACAGACGUGAAUCUUGCCCUCCCCACCCCAAGCUGGGAGAGGUGAGACCCCCCAGCCCACCCGGGACCAACAGCGCAGACCUGCUUCUGUGGCUCCCAAAGCCCGGGGACCCCACACGUGGAGACGUUGCCAGGAGCCCUGGGUGUGCUUGUACUUGGAGACGCCCUGAUUAAACGAU
ensembl:lncRNA